rnacentral:lncRNA from 1 species
CACCUCCACCGGUGAAAUCUCCACCACCGCUGGCUCCAGUGAGCUCACCUUCUCCUCCGGUGAAGUUGCCACCACUACCAGCUCCUGGGAAAUCAACCCCACCUCCAGAAGAGGAAAAACCAACACCACCUACUCCAGUAAAGUCAUCGCCGCCUCCAGAGAAGUCUCUACCUCCACCCACUCUGACUACCUCUCCACCACCACAAGAGAAGCCUACUCCUCCAUCAACUCCAUCCAAACCACCACCAUCUCCAGUUGAGACACUACCUCCUCCAUCAAAGUCUUCUCCACCGGAAGAACCAGUUAGCUCACCACCUCAAGCACCAAAGUCGUCAUCUCCACCAGCUCCUGUAAGCUCACCACCUCCACUGAAGUCUUCUCCGCCUCCAGUACCAGAGAGCUCACCACCACCGACACCUAAGUCAUCACCUCCACUGGCUCCAGUGAGCUCACCACCUCAAGUGGAGAAGACUUCUCCACCACCAGCACCAGUCAGCUCACCACCACCGACACCUAAGUCAUCACCUCCACUAGCUCCAGUGAGCUCACCACCUCAAGUAGAGAAGACUUCUCCACCACCAGCACCAGUCAGCUCACCACCACCAACACCUAAGUCAUCACCUCCACUAGCUCCAGUGAGCUCACCACCUCAAGUAGAGAAGACUUCUCCACCACCAGCACCAGUCAGCUCACCACCAUUGGAGCCUAAGCCAUCAUCUCCACCUAGUUCUGUGAGCUCUCCACCUACGACGGUGAAGUCUUCUCCACCACCAGCACCACUUAGCUCGCCACCAAUGACGCCUAAGUCAUCAAGCCCACCUGCACACGUGAGCUCGCCUCCUGAAGCAGAGAAGUCAUCCCCGCCACUGGCACCGAUCAGCUCA